rnacentral:lncRNA from 10 species
CGAACCCGCCCCCCGCAUCAUGGAAACUGGGCCGACCGCCGGCCGCCCUGGCUCCCCCGCUCUGCAUUCCUGCCUCCAGGGGCGGGAGGGCGCGAAGGCCGGGCCGCCCCCUUCGGGCUCGCCGGCGGGGUCGCAGCUCUCAGCACCCUCCCCGUUAUUGGGAACAAGCCCGCUCCCCCACUGGCGAAGGGGCGCCUGUUCUUAGGAGUACCCGGCGGCACAUCCGCACCCCGUCCGGUCCUUUCAGCUACAAGGCCCGCCCCUCCCCGGGCGCUGCUUUCGCUGAGGGCUUUGCGGAGUCGCCCCGGGCUGGCCCUUGGCGUCUGGCUCUUGCCUCUCGGCAUCUUGCGAGGCUGAAGCCUUGGUGCCCAUUGCACAGAUGAAGUCCGCGAGGUUCAGCGACAGCAAGGGCUGCGGGACCGGGGCAGAGCAGGGACUCGGGCCGCCUCCUCCUGGAAGCUCCCCGGGCGCCUGGGAUGAGGGGCUCUGGGAAGCGGGGAAGGACGUGCGGGUGUCGGGGCUCCUGGGUCCCGGGUCUCAGUUUCCCCAUGUAGGAAGGGGUCGCCUUUGUGGGCCUUUGCGACCGAUGUAAGCUGGGGGUGGGAGAGUGGGGAUGGCAGAACUCGGGCCACGGGUGCCCGGAGUCACCAGGCGCGCACAGGGCGCCUACCUGCGAUCCUUUGACCUGA